UACGGGGGGUCCAAGCGUUGUUCGGAAUUACUGGGCGUAAAGCGUGCGCAGGCGGUCUGUUAAGACCGAUGUGAAAUCCCCGGGCUUAACCUGGGAACUGCAUUGGUGACUGGCAGGCUUUGAGUGUGGCAGAGGGAGGUAGAAUUCCACGUGUAGCAGUGAAAUGCGUAGAUAUGCGGAGGAACACCGAUGGCGAAGGCAAUCCCCUGGACCUGUACUGACGCUCAUGCACGAAAGCGUGGGGAGCAAACAGG
rnacentral:rRNA from 1 species